UAAAAUUUAUAUAAAAAUAAAUUAUCUUUUAAUAAUAAAUUAUAUUUUUUAAAAUAGCCGUUCAACACUUAUAUGCUCCACGUUUAUACGUUUGUUCUUUUGAAUAUAAUACCGGAGGCAACUGCUAUUAUGACUGGACAGUCGCACCCUCCCCAAGCCAACAUGGCCAGAAAAAGUUUAACAAAAUUAAAAUUAAAUUAAAUUAAAAAAAAAAAAAAAGGUGACAAAUCGGUGUGCUAAAAUAUGCGAGUAAAAGGUGCAAACUCCAAAGAUUCAGAAGUGAAAUAAGAAGUCUUAGAAGGUUCCAGGAAUGAAGGAUGAAGCUCAUGUGACUAGACCCACAAGACAAGGAAGCACCAAAGAACUCGAGUCUUGUCCCUCCUGCAUAUUCUCACUCACUCUACUACACUUGUGCGUGGAACGUCUCUUCCUGCAUGCUUCUUCCUUCUUAAUUCUUAUGGUCCUCCUUUGGCUGGUCCCAGAUCAUCAGCAAGAGUGCCGAGGCAAGCUGGAGCGACUACUGCGAUUUUUCUCUUGUGGGUAGUCUUAAUUUUCACGCAGAUAAGUUGGCAUUUUGCUGCUCAUGACGUCAGCGAGCGGUUCUUUAGGUCUCCGGUGCCCCGGAAAGAACAUUUUUCCGAGACACCGUUGUUUCAUGCACCUUCAAGCACUCCGGUUCAGGUUUCGGCCACGAAUGGGGAGCCGGACACGCUAUAUGAAGACGACAAGAGAAUAAUUCAUACGGGUCCAAAUCCUCUUCACAACUAGGUGAGAAUCUGAGGGUAGUUUUCUUCUGCAAUAUUGUGUAUGGUUGAGUCUUUAAUGCUAGACACUCAAGUCUUUGGUCUGUUAUAAGCUAAAGCUUUUGUUCGCUUUUUCACCUUGUAUUAGAAUGAGAGUAUAACUCUAGCCUUUUCAGUCAAGAUCAUGAAUGGCGUCAGGGACAGUUUGGCAAUGCUGAGACCGAGAAAAAAAAAAGAGGAAGAUAGUAUGGAGGCUAGUGAUAAUUCUCUCGUUUCUUUUGCAGUCUUCUUCUUAAUUCUGUAGGUUCUGUUAAAAUUAAUCUUAUUGAAUUUAAUGUGUGUAGUUAA